rnacentral:rRNA from 1 species
AUGAAAACCCAAGAAAACCUAGAUAGACUCUAAAGUCUCUAACACAAAACACAAUAACAAACAAGAAGCAAAACAUAUACAAACUAAAACAUUAUCACAAAUAAAAAUUAAUAGCCAGUAAUAGAGAAUGAAAACUUUACAAAUAAACACAUAAUAAAAUUCUUUUGAUACAGAAAAAAAUUNCUAAUAAACGAAGAGAUAUUUAUAUAAAAAGUACUGAAAAGGAAAGAUUAAUACUAUACACAAUCUAGAAUAUAUUAUAAACAUCCAAUAUUAUUCCUAUUGCAUCAGGAGCUUAUAAGAAAAAUCAUAAAUAAAUUUAAAAAUAAAAAUAACAUAACAAACAAUAAAUUUAUGAAACCCGAAACCUUGUGAUCUACUCAUGAACAGAAAGACAAAGAACCAAUUAUUAAAUGUUGCAAUAUUUUUAAAUGAUUCACGACUAGAAACAAAAAGUUAAUCGUACAAGGAAAUAACUGGUUUUCGAAGAAAUAUAUUUAAGUAUAAAAAAAAAUCAAAAAGUAUAUAUAAAAUAAAAAUUUUGAUUCUAAUAAAAAGACAAACUAAUUGUGAAAAGAUAAUUAGUUUAAAUGAAAACAGCCAUAACCCAAAUUAAACCUAAAAAAUAUUUUUUAACUUAACAAAAAAGUAGGCUUAAAAACAGCCAUCUUCUAAUAAAAACGUAAUUGUUUAUUACAAACAAAACAAAAUAAACAAUUAAGAAAAAGAAAAAGAAAGAUUGGGNUUUUUUUUUAAGAAAAGAUACUCGAAUAACACAAAUAAUUUAAGCACUAGUAAAUACCACACACACCCAAAGAAAAAUAACCGGUAUAUAAAUAUAAACAAUCCAAUUUAAUCCACUAAAACAAAAACCGUUCUUUAAUCCAACUCCGGUGGGAAUAAAUAAACUAAAUGNUUUUUAAGGAACUCGGCAAAAUAGGGAUUCGACUGUUUACCAAAAACAUAGCCAAUAGAAAAAAUUAUCAAUGGUGAUGCCUGCUCAAUGAUUAAACAAUAACCAAUAAAAAGAAUUAAAUAGCUGCGGUAACACCUAACCGUACAAAGGUAGCAUAAUAAAUCGCCUACUAAUUAUAGGAUAGAAUGAAGGUAAAACGAAAACCCAACUGUCUCAAAAACAUAAAAUUUAAAAUAGAAUGUGUGUGUAAAUCCACACUAAGACGGCAAGACGAUAAGACCCUAAGAACUUUACUGAAAACUUAAUUAAUAAAAUAUAAGUCAUAAGUUUCGUUGGGGCAACGAUCUUUAAAAAAGUAACUAAGAUUAAAUAAUCAACAAAAAAAAAUAACAUAAAAAUAUGUAAAAGAUAAGACCCAUUAAAAUUAAUAAAUUAAUGAUAACAUAAUAAAAGUUCCUUAGGGAUAACAGCGUUAUAUCGUUUCAAGAGAACCAUCCAAACGAUGUUUGCGACCUCGAUGUUGAAUUGUUAUAUCCUAAAAUGUAACCACAUUUAAAGGUUGGACUGUCCUUCCAUUAAAAUAACCCAUGAUUUGAGUUCAGACCGAGGCAACUCAGGUCAGAUUCUAUCUACCGUCAAAACAAAAAGGCUUGACAUGAGUACGAAAGGAAAAUGUCUACUACCCCAUAGUAAACCACGAAAAAAAAUUAAGCUUAUAAAACAUAAAACCCUAAAUUA